rnacentral:rRNA from 1 species
CGCUGGCGGUAUGCUUAACACAUGCAAGUCGAACGGAAACGAUAGAAGCUUGCUUCUAGGCGUCGAGUGGCGGACGGGUGCGUAACGCGUGGGAAUUUACCUUUUAGUGGGGGAUAGCCCGGUGAAAACCGGAUUAAUACCGCAUACUACUCUACGGAGGAAAAGGGGCCUCUCCUUGGAAGCUCUUGCUAUUAGAUGAGCCCGCGUAAGAUUAGCUAGUUGGUUGAGGUAAUGGCUCACCAAGGCAACGAUCUUUAGCUGGUUUGAGAGGAUGAUCAGCCACACUGGGACUGAGACACGGCCCAGACUCCUACGGGAGGCAGCAGUGGGGAAUAUUGGACAAUGGGCGCAAGCCUGAUCCAGCAAUACCGCGUGUGUGAAGAAGGCCUGAGGGUUGUAAAGCACUUUCAAUAGGGACUAAAUGUUCGUAGUUAAUAACUGCGGAUCUUGAAUUAACCUAUAGAAGAAGGACCGGCUAACUCCGUGCCAGCAGCCGCGGUAAUACGGAGGGUCCGAGCGUUAAUCGGAAUUACUGGGCGUAAAGCGCGCGUAGGCGGUUUAUUAAGUCGGAUGUGAAAGCCCUGGGCUCAACCUGGGAACUGCAUUCGAUACUGGUAAACUAGAGUAUAGUAGAGGUAAGUGGAAUUCCAUGUGUAGCGGUGAAAUGCGUAGAUAUGUGGAGGAACAUCAAGUGGCGAAGGCGACUUACUGGACUAAUACUGACGCUGAGGUGCGAAAGCGUGGGGAGCAAACGGGA